AAACCCAGCUGAGCAUGGUCUUUAGAGAGAAUUGCAAGGCUCAGAGAUUUCCAGUGCUCAGCUGAGGCAGGUCUGUCAUGCUAAGGUCAGGGACCUACUUGAGAAACCCUGGGAUCCUGAAACAUGGCAGGAAGACAUCUUGAUGGAUGUCUCUGAAGACCUCCUCAAACCCCCAAAUUUCCUCUAGUGAAAGCACUUGCCCUUGCUGGGAGGUCUCAUGCUUCCACUUCCUCAUUUGGCUGCAGGGCAGAUGACAGGUUAAGUCCCAGCAUAAUCUGCCCAGGACAUGCUGGGCCCCAUUGAAGGGGUUUCAAGAAUUAGCUAGAAUGUAACUGCUAUUGGGAAAGUACCCUUAGAACUAGAUUUUGAGGAUUCCUGGUCAAGGGGACUGAAAUGUAUGACUAAAUCAACAAGUAUUCAUUUUCUUGGGACCUGGGAUUUAACACCCUAGCAAGGAUCCUAGGUGCUGUGGACUGAAGGUUUGUGUGCCCUCCAAACUUCGUAUGUUGCAACUCUAAUCCCCAAUAUAAUGGUAUUUGGUGGUGAGGCCUUUGGGAAAAAUUUAAGGUUAGAUGAGGUCAUGAGAUGGAGGGGUCUUAUGGUGGAAUUAAUGGCCUUAAAAUAAGGAGAGGAGACAUGAGAUCUCUCUGCAUGUGUGCACCAAGGCAGACCAUGUGAGGACAUAGCCUGAAAGAAGGUCCUCACCAUGAACCCAGCCUUGCUGGUGCCCUCAUCUCAGACUUCCAGCCCCCUAGACUUGGGGAAAUAAAUGUUUCGAUAAGAGACUACAAGGGAGUGAGAGAGGAAGAAACAGCAAUUCCACAUGACCAGCCUAGCUCCCUGGCUUGGGUUCCACAGAAAGCUUUGGGUGCCUGGGAGCAUGAAGAUGCUGGGCGCCAAGAAAGAGAGGGAGGAGGCACAGAGUAAGACCAAAUUUGAUUCAUUCUUUUCUAAGUUUGGUCCCCAUUCUAUGUAAAGGGCCAUUAAAGGCAACCAGGAGGAAGAGAAGUGGUCCUGUCUGUCUGAGCAGCACUCACUGUGCCUGUCCCCCUCUGGAGUAUGUGCCUCUUCUUAGGGCCCUUCAGAGUCUGUGGGCCCAUACAUCGGACUCAUGAUCCAAUGCGAGCAAUUUUGUGGAGUGACUGAUGGCCAUGAACUUUCUGAAGAGUCCUGAACAUUUAAUUAUCACGAACAGUUUAGCCUAUUUCAAAUGAGGUUUUCACAGAGCCCAUAUACAUCCAAAUUUGCUUGUGAACAUGAAAUAACGUUUUCUGUAGUGUUUGCAAUGUGGCAGUUAGGCUUGGCCCCACCACGAGCACCAUCUAGGCUUGUCUACAGAAGUCUACUCUGUGAAUUUUCUCCCUAAGUUGUGGUUGGGGGGCAAGGGAUGAGGGGAGGGAAGGACUUGAAACAGGGAAAAAGUAAACAGAACGUUAGCUCUUCUCUAUGGUAGGUAGCCUCUAAAGUUAAGUCAAAAUGGGACUCUGAGUCCCUGCCAUCAUCGACUGAUGUGAGCAUUGGACUAAAUGUGAGAAUCCUUCUAAAGUGCACGGGAAGUGCCUGACAUUUAAGUGUUAAAUUAAAUAUGUACUGAUAAUAAGAGCAACAUUAUCCUAUUUGUGUUGUCCUCCCUACUCCUCAUAAUUUGUUCUCUUCUUCUUCCCACUGACCUAAUCUUACCUGGCCCCCUGCUUCCUCCUUGAAGUCUUCCUGACUUGUUCCUGAUCACACUAAUACAUUUCUUUACUUAAUGCCUUUAGAACUUACAUUUCCACCCUCAUUGGAUGCAGACAGUGUUUUGCCAGGUGUUCUGCUCUGGGCACAUGACUUAUCUCACUUAAGGAUCAAAGUAAGGCUGUGGAGGUGGCAUGCGGAGCGUGAGAAGAGGAGCCAGGAUGACUGGAGUGCUAUUAUUUACUAGCUAUAUGAGCAAGUGACUUGGCUUUUUCUAAGCCCCGUUUUCCUUAUCUGUAAAGUGGGAGUCUACAAUUUACCUCAUGUGCUUGUUGUGAAGAUUGUGAAGCACUUAGUACCUGGGAAAGAAAUCAUUUUAUAAUGUAUUUAUUAUCUUGUUUCUUCUCUAUAUCUGUCAGAGAAUCUAGCAGAAAGGGUGUAUAAUAGUCACUUCACAAAUAUUUGAAGUAAAAUGUUUUUGCAGUCAUUUUUUAAAGAAAAAGAUUGUUAUGAAACUGGUGUUUCUCAUAUUUUUCUGCACAUAUGCAUCCCUUGGAAAAUCUAAUUUGGUGGAUCUGAAGUAUCGAAUUUUAACAUGUCCCCAGGGAAUUCUGAUAUUCACACCACUUGGGAAAAUUGCUGUAUUCUCAAAGGAUGCUCUAAACCCUCAACUAUUAUGUCAGGGUAUCUGUUUCAUAAAAAGAAAGAGCUUUUACCAGCCUUUUAAUAAUUGAGUCACAUCACUGCUCAAUUGAUUUGGGCAAAGUGACCACUGUGAAGAGGGGUGUGUGUGUGGAUAAGUAGCAUUGCCAUUUAGCUACCAUUGGGUCAGAGUUAUUAGCUUCAACAGUGGGUACUGUGUCUCUGAGUGGGCUCCAGAUGUGUCUUCUUAAUUGAAUAAAGUCCAGAAUAUCAGUUCAUUUCAAAGCUGCAUAAUGUGGUAAUUAGAAGCCUAGUUAUAUCUAAUGUCCUGAAUGGAGAUCCCAGGGUUGUCUCACAACAGCCAAGGGUCCUGAGCAGAUAAUUACAAGCCCUUCACAGUGAUAAUUGCCAACCUCAGAGAGCUCCACAGAGAGAAUGCCUGUGAAACCAAGGGCUUUGAAGAGGUAAUGCACUGCUCCAGCACCAGGCACUGUUAUCAAUAAAGAGAGUUUGUCCCUUAUGAAGGUAGGGGUGUUAGAAAAGAGGUUCUCUUACAUGUCAUUGGUUUCAUUUCAUUCAUCAGUCCACAAUGAAAUGGUUUUAAUGAGGCAUGGGUUGGGCUGAGACCAAGAUGAAAGUAGAGCAAGGGCCAAGGGGGAAAGGAAAAAAGCAUUCUUCUAUUGUGCAAGCAAAUCUUUCCUAGUGGAAGGAUUUGCAGUUUAAAUCACAGACUUGAAAUUGCAGCUCAGUCUCUUUCCAAGCAGUACCGGAAGUAUCUUUAGAGAUGGCCAACAUAUCUUAAUAUUCAGGCUCAAAACUAAUAGACAUUAACACCUGGAUUACUUCACAGUGAGUAACCUAAGCAAAGUAAUUCCAGAAAAGCAAUUAGUACUCUGUCUACUCAAGCCUCAAAAUCAAGUGCAGAAAUCCAAGAGGUUGGUUUUUGAACCUCCUUGGAAUAGGAGCUGAAGGAUCAGCCUGGAAAGCAAGGAUGUAUAUCUGUGAGUUACACAUGCUAUCUCAUAGUAUGCACUAUUUGACAUAACUCCUUACCAAAAAUAUUCCUUCAUUUCUCACUCUUAAAGUAAAUGGUGUCUCCAAUAGACACUAUAUUACCAUACCUGAAAGAAAAGGGAGGGCGGCCUCCAAACCAUUGAAUAAAUGUUGGAGGACAAAAGCCCCAGAGCUGUUCACUGUCUUGAUUUACAGGAAGUGCUCUGAAAUAUUGAUGAUAUUGAUGUCAUACUCCUCAGAUGGUUAUAUGUAUGUGAUUUGUUCUUGCUCUAAGAUAUUUAUGAUGAGAAAAGUCAUACAAGUAUGAGUGGAGGUAGCCUGCAAGUUGAGAUGUUACAUCAUGAGGAUUCAAGUUGGGAGCAAGUUCUAUGAUGUGUCAUGUUUCCAGAUUGGUAUGUGAGGUCAAGGCCCUUAGAGUGAGUUCACUUAGCUGCCUGCCCAGACUGCUGCAAUUCAUGGUGUAUUCAUGAAAUAAAAGAGGUAGAUUUUUCUGUGGUUUUUAGAAAAAGAUUCAAAAAUAAGAAACCCAGUGUUGCUGAUAGAAGUAAAGAGAAAGUUGAGGUUGAAGAUGGUUAUGGUUCUUAACU
rnacentral:lncRNA from 1 species